CUUUCGCAAUGAAUCCAAGGCAGCUUCGAUCGAGCAGUGAGCUGGAGCACCUACGUACAGGCUACUCCUUGAUGUGACUGAAAAGAGGCCUAUUCCGGGACUCUGAAAGGACGGUGGGGCUGUGGAUUUACCUCCCACACACCUGGGCACUCAGAGUACAAGCACUGUGAGAUACCAGUGACAGAUGGAUCUCUCUCGUGCACACGUGCUCUUUCCUUCUCUAUAUUUUUGCUUUCGACAUGUUUGAUCUGAAGUUCUGAAGCUUCUCAGAGGGAACCCGGGAGAGAAG